rnacentral:rRNA from 1 species
GAGGAAUAUUGGUCAAUGGGCGCGAGCCUGAACCAGCCAAGUAGCGUGAAGGAUGACUGCCCUAUGGGUUGUAAACUUCUUUUAUAAGGGAAUAAGGUGAGGCACGUGUGCCUUAUUGUAUGUACCUUAGGAAUAAGCAUCGGCUAACUCCGUGCCAGCAGCCGCGGUAAUACGGAGGAUGCAAGCGUUAUCCGGAUUUAUUGGGUUUAAAGGGUGCGUAGGCGGAUGGUUAAGUCAGUGGUGAAAUUUUUGCGCUUAACGUAAACAUUGCCGUUGAAACUGGUCAUCUAGAGUGCUAAUGAGGUAGGCGGAAUGUGUUGUGUAGCGGUGAAAUGCAUAGAUAUAACACAGAACCCCGAUUGCGAAGGCAGCUUACUGGGAUGCAACUGACGCUGAAGCACGAAAGCGUGGGGAUCAAACA